AUGUUAGACAGGUUACAUCAACUGUCAGUGUUAGUGUCACUUUUUAGCAAGAUGACCACGCGGUCGGCUCGUCGGCUAACACGAGCUUUCGACGAAAUACAAAUAGCAGAACUUCCUAAUAAUUCGGAGUUCGAAGACUCGGAUGAUGAAGAUGUGCCUGACCUGACCUAACCUAAACCUAUCCUCGGAAUCUGAAGGUGGAGAAAUAGAAAUCGCAGUAAGUGGAGGUGGAUCUACUCGUCGUACUCAAAGUGCUCGUGACCAACGAGUUGGACGUGGCCGUGGCAGAAGUACAAGUACAAGGGCACGACAUACCGGGUAUAGUGCCGUACCAUCAAAAAUACGACGCUUAUAUGGCAAUAUGCACUUACCGGAACAUCUAGACAAAUAACAACGAGGCCAUCUCUCUGGGUGUGACAAAAGGAGUUUAUUUAAAUGCUCUGACUGUAAUAUAGCUAUUUGCCUAAACUCAACAAGAAAUUGUUGCAGGGCCUUUCAUCGACAAGAGAAUUAAUAAUAAGCAAUAAAAACCAUAUCUUGUCGACUUUAGUUUAUAAAAAUAUUGAUCUCGUAUACUUGACUGUGAUUUUGAAAUAAGAUGUCAAUUAAACUAGCACUUAAGGAAGAUUGUUUGUCCUCUAUCCUAUUUCGAUAAUUAAGAAUAGUGUGUUAUCCUCUGGUUUAUAAAAGUAAAUUAUGCUAAUAUUGUCUUUGAGGACGUAUUUUAUAAAUGUUUCUAGAAGAAAAAUAUUGUUUAUGUUGUAAUAAAAUAAAAUAUAUACUA